rnacentral:rRNA from 1 species
AUUGAACGCUGGCGGCAGGCUUAACACAUGCAAGUCGAGCGGGGUGAUGGUGCUUGCACUAUCACUUAGCGGCGGACGGGUGAGUAAUGCUUAGGAAUCUGCCUAUUAGUGGGGGACAACAUCUCGAAAGGGAUGCUAAUACCGCAUACGUCCUACGGGAGAAAGCAGGGGAUCACUUGUGACCUUGCGCUAAUAGAUGAGCCUAAGUCGGAUUAGCUAGUUGGUGGGGUAAUGGCCUACCAAGGCGACGAUCUGUAGCGGGUCUGAGAGGAUGAUCCGCCACACUGGGACUGAGACACGGCCCAGACGCCUACGGGAGGGAGCAGUGGGGAAUAUUGGACAAUGGGGGGAACCCUGAUCCAGCCAUGCCGCGUGCGUGAAGAAGGCCUUAUGGUUGUAAAGCACUUUAAGCGAGGAGGAGGCUCUUUUGGUUAAUACCCAGAAUGAGUGGACGUUACUCGCAGAAUAAGCACCGGCUAACUCUGUGCCAGCCGCCGCCGUAACAC